rnacentral:misc_RNA from 1 species
AAGUCGUAACAAGGUCUCCGUUGGUGAACCAGCGGAGGGAUCAUUACAGAGUAUAUAACUCCAAACCCUAUGUGAACAUUACCCAAUGUUGCUUCGGCAGAUUGCCCCAGGGCGGGGCGUACUGGUCUGCCGAAGGAAAUAAACUCUUUGAAUCACAGUGGAUAAUCUGAGUGGCAUAAGCUAAAUAAGUUAAAACUUUCAACAACGGAUCUCUUGGUUCUG